rnacentral:rRNA from 1 species
GACGAACGCUGGCGGCGUGCUUAACACAUGCAAGUCGAACGAUGAAGCCUUUCGGGGUGGAUUAGUGGCGAACGGGUGAGUAACACGUGGGUAAUCUGCCUUGCACUCUGGGAUAAGCCUGGGAAACUGGGUCUAAUACCGGAUAUGACUACUUCACGCAUGUGGGGUGGUGGAAAGUUCUGGCGGUGUGAGAUGAACCCGCGGCCUAUCAGCUUGUUGGUGGGGUGAGNGGCCUACCAAGGCCGACGACGGGUAGCCGGCCUGAGAGGGCGACCGGUCACACUGGGACUGAGACACGGCCCAGACU